CAUGUGUCCUGUUUGUGGUGGGCUGGCAUCAGCUGUGUAUGAAGGGGGUGGCUUUGGCAUUUCAUGAGGAUUCGGUCAGGUGUAGUUGCUCGGCAAGGCUGGCUGUCGGCAAAAAGAAGACCUUCGCGUACUCUGAUGACUGGAUGAGCUAAGGAAAACUGGAAAAAGUGAGGCGGGCGCAUGCUGCUAAGCAUGGCUGUGGAUAACUCAGGACGGUGCAGUUGCUUGGCAAGGCUGGCCGUCAGCAAAGACAAGAGGACGUUUGCGUGGGCUGACGACUGGAGGUGCUGAGGAGAACUGGAAAAAGUGAGGCAGGCCCAUGUUUCCGAGCGUAGAUGUGGUUAACACGGGAAGAGUGGCCUGAGGGCUGUGGAUUCCCCAGGGUUCUGGAGUACAACGAGGUCAUGGCUCCUCUGCAGACCCGCAUGGCGUGCCCGGAUGUGUACUGCUGCGUCCCAGCACGUGCUUGGAUGGAUGAUGACACCCCUGUAUGCAUUCCUUGGAAAUUCUGAACAAAGUGAGUGAGAACACUCUACCGUCUCCUCAUCGAGUCUGAGGUCCAGCACGUUUCCUCUCUCAGGCGUAGGGGACAGUGAGGAGCGAGAGGGCCUCAGGGACACACGGACACCAAGAUGCAGAUUCAGAGGAACAGAAAGAAGCCCAGAAGUGGGUCCUCGUGAGCAGUUACAGUCACACACAUGCACACGCGUGAACACACAAAUAGACCCUCUCAUAUACCGGCCAACGUACGUGCCUAACUUUCUGCAGUCGUGCUGUCAGACAAACAUUGAGUUCUCGGUAAGGGUAGAGGUCCUUGGGAAGCAGGGUCCAGGCUCAGGCCCAGAUAAUCAUUCACAUGUAUCACGUUCUCUGUUGUCCCUGGUCCAAUUCUGAAGCCUGCGUGAUUUAUGUCCACUUCUCAGGUGCAGUUGCUGGGCAAGGGUGGCCGUAUGGAAAGGCAAGAAGACUUUCGCGUUGUGUGAUGACGGGAGGUGCUGAGAACUGGAAAAGUGAGGUGGGGGCAGGUUGCUAAGCAUGGUCCCGGAUGACUCAGGAAGGUAGGCGUUCACCCACCCUAAGAUGUGCCACUGGAUAUUAGAUUUUCCUCAGACGGGCCCAGUGGCUUCAAGAGUAGAUUGACUGUUGCUCUUGCAGAGUGGCCUGAGGGCUGUGGAUUUCCCAGGGUUUUGGAGUACUACGAGGUUAUGGCUCCUGUGCAGACUUGCAUGGCAUUCCCGGUUGUGUUCUGCAUCGUCUCAGCAGUGCUUGGAUCGAUGAUGACACCCUUGUAUGCAUUCCUUGGAAAAUCUGAACAAAAUGAGUGAGACACUCUACCUUCUCCUCAUCGAAUCUGAGGUCCACAACAUUUCCUCUCUCAGGCGUAUGGGACAGUGAGGAGAGAAGUAGGUAACCUGUGUAGAGUUGUGAUCCCAUUGCCAGAGGAAUGACCGCCAAAGGGUGUCUUGCAGGAUGUAGAGAACAUAGACAUGCUGAGGGCCAGCGUCCCCUGUUGACAUGCAUGCAAACACCACUCAGGGCUCCAGACUUGGAGGGGCUCCUGUCUGAGGGUCGACUGUGGCUGCCACUAAGCUGGGUCGUGUGUGAAUAUCAGGUCACUGCUGAAAGACCGUUGAGGGACUGUGAGGGGGCAGGCUCUCCUGCUGGUCUUCAGAGGCGGAGUGUGUGGUGGUGGAGGCCCAGUGAGCUUGCAGCUUGGGAAGGUGUGCUUUGGCCGGGAUCACGCUUUGUGCAUGAGGCUUUGGGGUUUAGCUCUGGAAGCCAAAAUGAGCAAGCUUCCCUGGUUGGGGCCUGGAGCAUCAGGUCAGGCCUGUGGCCCUCUCUGUCGUUUGGUUUGGCUCUUUGAAGUUCUUGAGUGCACGGUGUGGCUGGAGUAGUGAGUGGGUGUGGACUGGGGUUGAGCUUUGGCGGAAGGGGCUGAUGGAUUAGGCCUAGGUAGGGCCCAUGUCAGCUCCUGUAUUGCAGCUCCCGGCACAGGUGUUGGCACAAAGUGGGCCAUCGUGGAGUGGGGUUAGCACCGAGUGGUGCAUUUAAGCCUGCGUGGUGGCUGUUUCGUGGAGAGGAAGGUAAGGCAUCAUGAGGACAUGUCCUGUGUGAUGUCGUGGGAUGAGCUGUCAUUAUUGGGGUGCAGGCGCUGGCCACGGCUUCCCAAGGAUGUGUCCUGUCCGUGGUGGGUUGGCAUCAGCUGCCUAUGAAGGGGAUGGGUUUGGCAGUUCAAGAGGAUGGGGUGAGGUAGGUAACCUGCGGAGAGUUGUGAUCCCAUUGCUGGAGGAAUGACGCCCAAAGGGUGUCUUGCAGGACAUAGAGAAGAUAGACAUGCUGAGGAGUCUGUGCCGCUCUCCUUGAGGAUAGGUGAGUUAUGCGAAUAUGCCCUUUGGCCACAUUGUUCCCUUGUUUGUGAAUAUGCAAAGCGAAAAGUUUUUCUCCCACAGGGCAUGAUGCGGCAGGCCCGUGAGGCACGCAGAACUUUCGAAGAGCCAGAGAUUUAUCUGGAGCAGUCUGUUGACGGAAUAGCGACGCGGGCACUGUUGCGAUGCCGGCUGCGCUGCUGCAGACAGGCACUGUGCCCUUUGAAGCUUCCAGGUCCCCUUGGGUGGCAGAGGUCUUCCGUUGACAAUCUGUCUGUGGUUCUCGGUGACAGUGCCUUUGAUCUGUGUGAGGUUCUCUGUAGUGUCGCUGUGGCAGUGGAGAAGUGCCAGGAUCCGUGGGGUAGGGUCAGUGUCAUCAAAGCAGACAUGCUUGCGGUCUGUCAUCCCUGGUGUACAGGGUCCCCCUCUUUGCAUGAUGUCUGUGGCUUCCAAUAGGUUCGAGUUGCCCCGUGGGCAGGAGGAGGGCAUGGAGGACGGCACGGAGGACGAGGCUGGCAAGGAUUUGUGCGUUUCCUCGGGGUUCAGGGCAGCCAACACUGCUGGCUGGGUGCUGGCGAAACAUGGCAGGGAUGGUAGCCUAGUUUCGGCUGUGGGGUCUGAACUUGGGUCAUGGUUGCUGAAGCCCACCACUUCCUGUGGUGGGCAUUCCUAUGGGUCCACAGAAAGUGAUUUGGCCUAGUUGGCGAGAAUUGCCACAUAGGCCGAAUUUCAUUAUCCUCUUGAGUGGUGCCGGGCUGCAUCUUGCCUGUAGCCUGCCGCAGGUCAGGGUCUGCCCGACCAGCGGAGGUCGUCUUGCCUCCGGGAGUGCUGGAAGUGGCCCCAAGCGCACAUCAGAUGUGCUACUAGCUGGCAGGUUCUCCAGGUCCACGUAUAUGUCACACCCACGGCCGGGAGGCAAGUCUGGUUAGGUCUUUGUGCUUUGGUCAGAAGGCUUGGCUGUGGGAGAGCGGGAAUCCGUGGCCUAUUUCAACAGCCCCUGGGUUUCAGAGUUUGCAUUCGGCCUCUUGAAGCUUGAAGGGGUCUUUGUCCGUUUAGGGAGGGCGGUGUCCAGUGCCAGUGCACUGCAUAUCAACUGUGGCUUUUACGGUUCGGUGUCUCUGUGGAGGUCCUCAGGGACACACGGAGACCAAGAUGCGGAUUCAGAGGAACACAAAGAGCCCAGAAGCUCGUCCUCGUGAGCUAUUACAGUCACAUACACACAUAGGUGUGAACACACACAUAGACCCUCUGAAAUACCGGCCAACGUACGUGCCUAACUUUCUGCAGUCAUGUUGUCAGACAAACAUUGAGUUCUCAGUAAGGAUAGAGGUCCUUGGGAAGCAGGGUCCGGGCUCAAGCCCAGGUAGACAUUCGCACGAAUCACACUCUCUGUGGGCCCCAGUCCAAUUCUGAAGCCUGCGUGAUUUAUGUCCACUUCUCAGGUGCGGUUUCUGGGCAAGGGUGGCCGACAGUAAAGGCAAGAAGACUUUCGCAUUGUCUGAUGACUGGAGGUGCUAAGGAGAACUGGAAAAGUGAGGUGGGGACAGGUUUCUAAGCGUGGUCCCGGAUGACUCAGGAAGGUAGGCGUUCACUCAGCCUAAGAUGUGCCAUUGGAUAUUAGGUUUUCCUCAGACGGGCUCAGUGGCUUCAAGAGUAGUUUGACUGUUGCUCUUGCAGAGUGGCCUGAGGGCUGUGGAUUCCCCAGGGUUUUGGAAUAUUAUGAGGUCAUGGAUCCUCUGCAGACCCGCAUGGCAUGACUGGUUGUGUUCUGCAGCAUCCCAGCACGUGCUUGGAUCGAUGAUGACACCCUUGUAUGCAUUCCUUGGAAAAUCUGAACAAAAUGAGUGAGAACACUCUACCGUCUCCUCAUCGAGUCUGAGGUCCAGCACGUUUCCUCUCUCAGGCGUACGGACAGUGAGGAGCGAGGUAGGUAACCUGCGUAGAUUUGUGAUCCCAUUGCCGGAGGAAUGACGCCCAAAGGGUGUCUUGCAGGACGUAGAGAAGAUAGACAUGCUGAGGCGUCUGUGCCGCUCUCCUUGAGGAUAGGUGAGUUAUGCGAACAUGCCCUUUGGCCACUUUGUUCCCUUGUUUGGGAAUGUGCAAAGCGAAAAGUUUUUCUCCCACAGGGCAUGAUGCGUCCGGCCCGUGAGGCACGCAGGGACUUUCGAAGAGCCAGAGAUUUACCUGGAGCGGUGUGUUGGCGGAACAGCGACGCGGGCACUGUUGCGAUGCCGGAGGGCCUCAGGGACCCACGGAGACCAAGAUGCAGAUUCAGAGGAACAGAAAGAAGCCCAGAAGCGCGUCCUCGUGCGCAGUUACGGUCACACACGCGCUCACGCGUGAACACACACAUAGACCCUCUCACAUACCGGCCAACGUGUAGUUGCUGGGCAGGGGUGGCCGUCAGGAAAGGCAAGAAGACUUUCGCAUUGUGUGAUGACUGGAGGUGCUCAGGAGAACUGGAAAAGUGAGGUGGGGGCAGGUUGGUAAGCAUGGUCCCGGAUGACUCAGGAAGGUAGGCGUUCACCCACCCUAAGAUGUGCCACUGGAUAUUAGGUUUUCCUCAGACGGGCCCAGUGGCUUCAAGAGUAGAUUGACUGUUGCCCUUGCAGAGUGGCCUGAGGGCUGUGGAUUCCCCAGGGUUUUGGAGUACUACGAGGUCAUGGCUCCUCUGCAGACCCGCAUGCAUGCCCGGAUGUGUUCUGCUGCGUCCCAGCACGUGCUUGGAUCGAUGAUGACACCCUUGUAUGCAUUCCUUGGAAAAUCUGAACAAAAUGAGUGAGAACCCUCUACCGUCUCCUCAUCGAGUCUGAGGUCCAGCACGUUUCCUCUCUCGGGCGUACGGACAGUGAGGAGCGAGGUAGGUAACCUGCGUAGAUUUGUGAUCCCAUUGCCGGAGGAAUGACGCCCAAAGGGUGUCUUGCAGGACGUAGAGAAGAUAGACAUGCUGAGGCGUCUGUGCCACUCUCCUUGAGGAUAGGGCAUGAUGCGUCCGGCCCGUGAGGCACGCAGGGACUUUCGAAGAGCCAGAGAUUUACCUGGAGCGGUGUGUUGGCGGAACAGCGACGCGGGCACUGUUGCGAUGCCGGGUGCAGUUGCUCGGCAAGGCUGGCUGGCGGCAAAAACAAGAAGACUUUCAUAUGGUCUGAUGACUGGAUGUGCCAAGGACAACUGGAAAAAGUGAGGCGGGCGCAUGUUACCGAGCGUGGUUCUGGAUAACUCAGGAUGGUGCAGUUGCUGGGCAAGGCUGGCCAUCGGCUAAGACAAGAAGACCUUCACGUGGUCUGAUGACUGGAGGUGCAAGGGAGACCUAGAAGAAAUGGGGCAGCCCAGGGUGCCGAGCAUGGCUGUGGGUCACUGAGGACAGUGGAGUGCCAGGGAAGAAAGGCUAGUGGCAGCGUGUGACCCUCUGCAUAUUCUGUAAUACCCAGCAAGUCAAGGAAGACAUGGCAAGGCGAGGCAAGGCGAGG